rnacentral:rRNA from 1 species
UACGAAGGGGGCUAGCGUUGCUCGGAAUCACUGGGCGUAAAGGGUGCGUAGGCGGGGCUUUAAGUCAGGGGUGAAAUCCCGGGGCUCAACCUCGGAAUUGCCUUUGAUACUGUCUGUCUUGAGUUCGGGAGAGGUUGGCGGAAUUCCUAGUGUAGAGGUGAAAUUCGUAGAUAUUCGCAAGAACACCAGUGGCGAAGGCGGCUCACUGGCCCGAUACUGACGCUGAGGCACGAAAGCGUGGGGAGCAAACAGG